AUUUUUUCUAUACAGUACCUUAAUGAUAAACACAAAUCUCAGCGUAAUAUCUGAUAGGGGCCCUAUAUGGGUCCUCGAUAUUAACUUUAUUUUUGCAGCCAGGUGGGCAACUCCGGGCUUGCCCGGAACCUGCCAGGGUCGGCCCUGUAUUGCAGUACAGCAGGGAUCGGCCCAGUUCCU
rnacentral:snRNA from 2 species